rnacentral:tRNA from 4 species
AGACCUCUUACUUUUAAAGGAUAAAAGUAAUCCACUGGUC